GACGAACGCUGGCGGCGUGCUUAACACAUGCAAGUCGAACGGAAAGGCCCUGCUUGCAGGGUACUCGAGUGGCGAACGGGUGAGUAACACGUGGGUGAUCUGCCCUGCACUUCGGGAUAAGCUUGGGAAACUGGGUCUAAUACCGGAUAGGAGCCAUCUUUAGUGUGGUGGUUGGAAAGUUUUUUCGGUGUUAGGAUGAGCUCGCGGCCUAUCAGCUUGUUGGUGGGGUAAUGGCCUACCAAGGCGGCGACGGGUAGCCGGCCUGAGAGGGUGUACGGCCACAUUGGGACUGAGAUACGGCCCAGACUCCUAUGGGGGGCAGCAGUGGGGAAUAUUGCACAAUGGGCGCAAGCCUGAUGCAGCGACGCCGCGUGGGGGAUGAAGGCCUUCGGGUUGUAAACUCCUUUCGCUAGGGACGAAGCUUUGUUGUGACGGUACCUAGGUAAGAAGCACCGGCUAACUACGUG
rnacentral:rRNA from 1 species